rnacentral:rRNA from 1 species
AUUGAACGCUGGCGGCAUGCUUUACACAUGCAAGUCGAACGGUAACAGGCCUUCGGGUGCUGACGAGUGGCGAACGGGUGAGUAAUGCAUCGGAACGUGCCCAGAGGUGGGGGAUAACGCAGCGAAAGCUGUGCUAAUACCGCAUGUGAUCUGAGGAUGAAAGCGGGGGACCAGGCAGCAAUGUUUGGCCUCGCGCCUUUGGAGCGGCCGAUGUCAGAUUAGGUAGUUGGUGGGGUAAAGGCCUACCAAGCCGACGAUCUGUAGCUGGUCUGAGAGGACGACCGGCCCAAUGGGACUGAGGCCCGGCCCCGACUCCUACCGGAGGCCGGCGUGGGGAAUUUUUGACAAUUGGCGGAAGCCUGAUCCAGCAAUGGCGGGUGGGGGAAGGAGGCCUUCGGGUUGGUAAACCGUUUUGUACGGAACGAAAAGGCUCUGGCUAAUACCUGGGGCUGAUGACGGUACCGUAAGAAUAAGCACCGGCUAACUACGUG